rnacentral:rRNA from 1 species
AACGAACGCUGGCGGCGCGCCUAAUACAUGCAAGUCGAGCGAGAAGGUGUAGCAAUACACUUGUAAAGCGGCGAACGGGUGAGGAAUGCAUGGGUAACCUACCCUCGAGUGGGGAAUAACUAGCCGAAAGGUUAGCUAAUACCGCAUACGUUUCCGGAACUUCGGUUUCGGAAAGAAAGCAAUACCGUGGGUAUUGCGCUCCUGGAUGGGCUCAUGUCCUAUCAGCUUGUUGGUGAGGUAACGGCUCACCAAGGCUUCGACGGGUAGCUGGUCUGAGAGGACGAUCAGCCACACUGGCACUGCGACACGGGCCAGACUCCUACGGGAGGCAGCAGUAAGGAAUAUUGCGCAAUGGACGAAAGUCUGACGCAGCGACGCCGCGUGGGGGAUGAAGGUCUUCGGAUUGUAAACCCCUUUCGGGAGGGAAGAUGGAGUGGGUAACCACUUGGACGGUACCUCCAGAAGCAGCCACGGCUAACUUCGUGCCAGCAGCCGCGGU